UGUUGGUUUCUGCUUUCCUUCACUGUGCAGCUCUGCUUGUCAUGAGACAGGUGUUUACAUUCCACAGUCUGUACUGUUGGAGUUUCUCACGGGAAAGGGAGACUGGAUGUGACGUACACUGGUUUCCUGUUUUUCACUGUGUGAUUCUCUCCGAGCUGUCGAGGAGAGAGGAUGCAUUUUCUGCUCCUGCAGAGGCAAGAUGUCUUUCUGUAAUAUACCUGCUUUGAACUGUAAAUAAAGCAAUAUAGAGUAUGUAGCACGUAUUGCUCAUCCUUCCGCUGGGCACGACAGACUCUGCUUAAAUCAACACGUGGUUAUGGACUCCAGAGGUCGAAUCGGAGUGCCGGCAGAGGAUCGGAAUGCAGAGGGACGGAUCGGAAAGGAAUCUGCUCUGCGCGUAGAAGUGAUUGAUGAGGUAUGUGCUACUGCUCCGGGCAGCCUGCCAGCUUCAAGUUAAUGGCUUUAUGGCUGGACUUUGAACUUUUAAAGCCGGUUUUGCCGGGAAUAGGCAAAAGGCUCCCAGGCACAAGUCACUAUGCUGGGGAAAUCGAAAGUAACUUUUAAGUGUGCCUUUGUAAUGAGGCAGCUGCAGCAGUGACGCAGCAAGAUUUAAAGCAGAAUAAUGACGCUGAAGGCUAAUGCCAGAGUCAUGAUGGCCCUUCAGGAUGCUUGUGGGAUUCCUAAGCUCAACAAGAAAAAUUACAGCGACUGGGUUCAGUAUGCAGAGGCAAUUCUGCGGAAAGAGGGUUUGUUUGAGGUGAUUACAGGAACCCCCCCAGUUCCAGUUACAGAUGAAUGGAAAGCUAAGGAUUCCAAAGCAAGGGGAACUCUUACAUUGAUAGUAUCCCCAGAAGAGCUCUGUCUAUUGCGUGAUAAGACCUCAGCCAGAGAAAUUUGGGACGCUCUGAGAGAGGCUCACUUAAGGACAGAAGCUGGAUCCACUAUGUUUUAUUUUAACAAGCUGCAUAAUAUGGCUCUUGCUGAAGGUGGAGAUGUACGUUUACAUCUGAUGGAGAUGCAAAAUCUGAGACAUGAGCUGCAACAGAGAGGACUCAACUUUCCAGAGGCUGUGUAUUCUUUCAUGAUACUACAAUCUUUGGGUUCAGGUUGGGAGUCUGUUGCAACCCAGAUUGCUGUGCAACCAACUGCUCAGCUGACAGUGGACUUUGUUACUGCCGUGAUUUUAAAUGAAGCAGAUCGCCGGGGUGCUAGCUGCAUGGGCAAGGGGAGUCUUCACAGACGUCAUCCCAUAGUGCAGUGGAACCACCAGAUGGCGCCAAAGCUUUGAAGGCAGUGAAAUGCUACUCGUGUGGACGUCUAGGCCAUAUGAAGAGGGAAUGCAGACAUCCCAGGGCCAAGACAGAGCAGCGCAGCGAAAGCUCAUCGCGCGGAAAAGGCCGAGGCAAAGGCAAAGGUCCGGUGUCUAGGACAACGCAGCACAAGGCUAUGGUUUCACGCUUCACUCCAAAGGUUGCAGAGGUCCAGAAGACGUCUAGAUCUUUCUUCGUUGUUGAUUCAGCGGCCACCCACCACAUGUGCAACGAUAAGAAACUGUUUGUGUCUUUUACACCGCAGGAAGGUGCGAUUCACCAGGCGGAUGACCACACUAUUCCCAGUAAAGGCUACGGAACUGUUGUUCUUCACAGUUUGGACUUAUCGAUACAGAAUGUGCUUUACGUGCCAGACGCCAAACAUAAUCUGCUCAGCGUUGGACAGCUGAAUGAGCGGAACAUUGACGUUUCCUUCAAGAACAAGAAGUGCAUCAUCACAAAGAAAAAUGAUUAUGUAUUGCAUGCAGAAUAUGUUGAUCAUUUGUUUGUUUUGUAUUAUGAUGAUGUGGUGCAGGAUGACACUUGUUGCAUUGCAGGUUCUAACAAAAGUUUGCAUGCAGAAUGUAUUCACGAUUUUCAUCGAAAAUUUGGUCAUUUGCAUUUUGAGGCAGUAUCUAAAAUGCCUGCCUUGGUUGAAGGUAUGACUAUUAAACCCUGCAGGUACCACAUGAAGUGCAAAGCAUGCGCAGCAAACAAAGUGAAAAUGGCUGCGAAAGGUAAGGUGUCUAGUAGGAAAGCUACAGAACCAUACCAGGUUGUUCAUGCUGAUUUGGUUGGACCACUCGCGCCCUCUUUGGGUGGAAAUAGAUACUUCAUGGUUCUCAUUGAUGCAUUUUCUAGAUAUAUUUUUGUGUACAAUCUCAAGCAGAAAUCGGAGGCUUUUCCUAGGUUCAAGGAAUUCUGUGCUUGGUUGGAAAAUGUGCAUGGUAAGAAGAUAAAGACUCUUUUCAGUGAUCGCGGGGGGGAAUUCACUUCUCAGCAGUUUGAAGCUUUUCUGACUGAGAAAGGAAUUCAACACGAUUUGUCUAGUCCUCGCUCGCCAUGGCAGAAUGGACUUGCGGAACGGGCAAAUCAGACACUGCUUCAAUGGUUAAAAACCUUGCUGCAUGAUGCCAAUCUUCCAGAGAGUUAGUGGGCCGAAUCUCUCUCGUGUUUUGUUUACAGUUACAAUCGCAGGUUAUCUUCAGCGAUUGGUUGUACCCCCUAUGAGAAGAUGUUUGGCAAGAAGCCAUACAUCAAACACAUGAAGAUUUUUGGUUCUGACAUGUGGGUUCGCUCACCACAAAACUCCAAGUUAGACAAGCGUGGAUUGCAUGGUAUCUUUCUAGGUUAUCAGAAAGGGUCUUACAGAAUAAUGAUGACUGACUCUAAGACAAUUAAGCUCACGAGAAGUGUUGAGUACAAUGCAAAGUGGGGGAGAAUGUGGGAAUUUUCCAAUGUUAUCCUGAUGACGGUGAUGAGACUGAGGAUAGUCAAAAGCAACCACAACAGCCCACACCCACUGAUGAAGGUUCUGAGUCUGAAUCUGAAACUGAAUCGGGUGAUUCAGAGGAUUUCGAGAGUGCGAAAGCCUCUAUGCGACCCUCUGAAAGCUCUGAUCAAGAAUUGGAGGAACCAUUGUUCACAAUAGGUCGUUUUUCUCCUAAGAAGGAAGAGGAGAGUGUUGAAGACUUAAGGAUAAUUCGUAGGUCACAGAGAGCCACAAAAAGCAAACCUCCAAAGAGAUUUGCUGAUGAGUUUGCUAAGAUAGCAGUAACAGCUGUUAAAAGCUCCAAGAAGGUAUUUGAACCUUCAAGUUUCCAAGAAAUCCAGGGUUUGGAUUCAAAGGAAGCUAAGCCAUGGUUAAAUGCCAUGAAGGCUGAGCUUGAUUCCUUAGAAAGGAACAAAACAUGGGAGCUAGUUCCAGUAGUUCCAGGAAUGAAACUGCUUGGAAGCAAAUGGGUCUUCAAAGUGAAGACAGAUCAAAAUGGCAAGAUAGUCAGACACAAAGCCAGAUUGGUAGCCAGAGGUUUUGCACAGGUACCAGGUGAAGACUAUCACGAGACCUAUUCACCCACAGUGAGAUAUGAAAGCAUUAGGCUUAUGCUCAAGCUAGCUGUAGAGGAAAAUCUACACAUUAGUCACCAUGAUAUUAAUACAGCUUUUCUGUACGGAUCUCUAGAUGAAUCACUUUAUAUGCUUCCACCUGAUGGCGUACAGGUAAAACAGGGAUUUGUUUGUGCUCUGAAGAAAUCCCUUUAUGGUCUCAAACAAAGUGCACGGUGUUGGCACACAAAACUCACUGAAGUAUUGUUUUCUCUAGGUUUUCAGCAAGGGAAAGCUGAUCCAUGUGUAUUUGUCAAAGAGGAGGGGCAAAAGAAACUGUACUGUUUGUUUUAUGUUGAUGAUUUAUUAUUCUUUUGGAAAGAUGUUGCAAUGUACAAUAGCGCCCUAGCUCAACUGAAAGAGCACUUUGACAUGAAAGAUCUUGGUGAGGUGAACAACUACCUAUCUCUGGAAAUAGAGAAAGAUCAAGAUGGUAACAUUCUAGUACACCAGUCACGGAAAAUUGCUGAUGUGUUAAGCAAACUAAAUCUGAUGGAUGCUAACCCUGUAGACACACCGAUGACAACAGGUUAUCAGGUAGAUGACACUGAAGAAGCAUUUUCUGACACUACACUGUACAGGAGUGUGCUAGGCAAGCUAAACUUCAUUGCCAGAUGUUCAAGACCAGACAUUGCUGUUAGCUGUAAUUUGCUAAGCAGACAAGUCAACAAUCCUAGUGUCAAGGAUUGGAAAGCUCUGAAACGCAUAGCGCGGUAUUUGAAAGGCACUAUGCAUUACAGACUGAGAUUUAACAAUCAGAAGUCUGGUGGUCUUGAGAUAUUUGCAGAUGCAAGUUUUGGAAGUGACACUACAGACAGGAAAAGUACGUCUGGAGUUUGCUACAUGUACAAUCAGGGUCUUUUUGAUUGGUCAUGCAAGAAGCAAACAACAGUUAGCUUAAGUACUUGUGAAGCCGAACUGAAUGCACUGUCUUAUUCACUUAAGGAUUGUGAAUGGUUAGUACAAUUGUGCAAAGAUAUGAAAAUUCCUGUCAAAUGUCCAAUCCAGGUUUACCAGGACAACAAAGCAUGUUUGGCUUUGCUGAAGUCUGAAGGUUGUAAGCAAAGCACAAAGCACUUGCAAUUAAAAUUGCAGCAUGCUAGGGAAUGUAUUCAGAAGGGACUCGUAACGGUGUCCUAUAUGCCAGGUAAUGAAAUUCCUGCUGAUGUAUUGUCCAAGAUUGUAUCAAGGGAUCAACACUGUACCUAUGUGCAGAAGUUGGGUUUGUACUGAUACUGUACGAACACGCUGCCCAGUGAUGUUCACAGAAAGGGGGAGGAUGUUGGUUUCUGCUUUCCUUCACUGUGCAGCUCUGCUUGUCAUGAGACAGGUGUUUACAUUCCACAGUCUGUACUGUUGGAGUUUCUCACGGGAAAGGGAGACUGGAUGUGACGUACACUGGUUUCCUGUUUUUCACUGUGUGAUUCUCUCCGAGCUGUCGAGGAGAGAGGAUGCAUUUUCUGCUCCUGCAGAGGCAAGAUGUCUUUCUGUAAUAUACCUGCUUUGAACUGUAAAUAAAGCAAUAUAGAGUAUGUAGCACGUAUUGCUCAUCCUUCCGCUGGGCACGACAGACUCUGCUUAAAUCAACA